AUUUGUUAAAGAAACAAGCAUGUUUAGGAUCACCAAAACACGGAUAAAUACACUUUAAAAAAAAAAACGAAAAAUGAUCUAACCAACAAAAUGAACAAGAAUUCACUUUACAUAGCCCUAGUCUUAUAUGGUUUAACAGGAGUGAGGGGUGAACAGUGUUGAGAUUAAUAAUAACAUGCAACUUUCUGUAUGGAUUAUAGUACAUCUAUUUCAGGUAUUUUAUUUGCUGAACCUUUAAUAUUUGGCAAAAAAAAACAACCUGAUUUAACUGACAAAGCACAUCAUGGCUAG